CACAGGCUGAGUCGCAGUAGAGUCU
rnacentral:miRNA from 1 species